UUCCGGUUGAUCCCGCCGGACCUGACUGCUAUCGGAUUGGUACUAAGCCAUGCGAGUCGUUGUAGCAAUACAAGGCGGACGGCUCAGUAACACGUAGUCAACCUAACCUAUGGACGUGGAUAACCUCGGGAAACUGAGAAUAAACCGCGAUAGAUCAUUAUGCCUGGAAUGGCUUAUGGUUCAAACAAUUUAUUGCCGUAGGAUGGGACUGCGGCCUAUCAGCUUGUUGGUGAGGUAAUGGCCCACCAAGGCUAUAACAGGUACGGGCUCUGAGAGGAGAAGCCCGGAGAUGGGUACUGAGACACGGACCCAGGCCCUAUGGGGCGCAGCAGGCGAGAAACCUUAGCAAUGUGCGAAAGCACGACUAGGUUAAUCCGAGUGAUUUCUGUUGAAGAAAUCUUUUGUCAGUCGUAAAACCACAGACGAAUAAGGGGUGGGCAAGUCUGGUGUCAGCCGCCGCGGUAAUACCAGCACCUCGAGUGGUCAGGAGGUUUAUUGGGCCUAAAGCAUCCGUAGCCGGCUACGCAAGUCUCCGGUUAAAUCCAGCUGCUCAACAGAUGGGCUGCCGGAGAUACUACAUAGCUAGGGAGCGGGAGAGGUAGACGGUAUUCUGUGGGUAGGGGUAAAAUCCACUGAUCCAUAGAGGACCACCAGUGGCGAAGGCGGUCUACCAGAACGCGUUCGACGGUGAGGGAUGAAAGCUGGGGGAGCAAACCGGAUUAGAUACCCGGGUAGUCCCAGCUGUAAACGAUGCAAACUCGGUGAUGCAUUGGCUUAUGGCCAAUGCAGUGCCGCAGGGAAGCCGUUAAGUUUGCCGCCUGGGAAGUACGGACGCAAGUCUGAAACUUAAAGGAUUGGCCGGGGAGCA
rnacentral:rRNA from 1 species